UCGAGAGUUUGAUCCUGGCUCAGAUUGAACGCUGGCGGCAGGCUUAACACAUGCAAGUCGAGGGGUAUAGUUCUUCGGAACUAGAGACCGGCGCACGGGUGCGUAACGCGUAUGCAAUCUACCUUUUACAGAGGGAUAGCCCAGAGAAAUUUGGAUUAAUACCUCAUAGUAUGUGAGAAUCGCAUGGUUUUCACAUUAAAGUUCCAACGGUAAAAGAUGAGCAUGCGUCCCAUUAGCUAGAUGGUAAGGUAACGGCUUACCAAGGCAACGGAUGGGUAGGGGUCCUGAGAGGACGAUCAGACACACUGGAACUGAGACACGGUCCAGACUCUACGGGGAGCAGCAGUAGGGAAUUUUCCGCAAUGGGGCUAAAGCCUGAC
rnacentral:rRNA from 1 species